CUGGCCUGGCGCAGCUACACAUGCAAGUCGAGCGGUAACAGGGGUAGCUUGCUACCCGCUGACGAGCGGCGGACGGGUGAGUAAUGCAUAGGAAUCUGCCCGAUAGUGGGGGAUAACCUGGGGAAACCCAGGCUAAUACCGCAUACGUCCUACGGGAGAAAGGGGGCUUCGGCUCCCGCUAUUGGAUGAGCCUAUGUCGGAUUAGCUAGUUGGUGAGGUAAUGGCUUACCAAGGCAACGAUCCGUAGCUGGUCUGAGAGGAUGAUCAGCCACAUCGGGACUGAGACACGGCCCGAACUCCUACGGGAGGCAGCAGUGGGGAAUAUUGGACAAUGGGGGCAACCCUGAUCCAGCCAUGCCGCGUGUGUGAAGAAGGCCCUCGGGUUGUAAAGCACUUUCAGCGAGGAAGAACGCCUAUCGGUUAAUACCCGGUAGGAAAGACAUCACUCGCAGAAGAAGCACCGGCUAACUCCGUGCCAGCAGCCGCGGUAAUACGGAGGGUGCAAGCGUUAAUCGGAAUUACUGGGCGUAAAGCGCGCGUAGGUGGCUUGAUAAGCCGGUUGUGAAAGCCCCGGGCUCAACCUGGGAACGGCAUCCGGAACUGUCAGGCUAGAGUGCAGGAGAGGAAGGUAGAAUUCCCGGUGUAGCGGUGAAAUGCGUAGAGAUCGGGAGGAAUACCAGUGGCGAAGGCGGCCUUCUGGACUGACACUGACACUGAGGUGCGAAAGCGUGGGUAGCAAACAGGAUUAGAUACCCUGGGUAAGUC
rnacentral:rRNA from 1 species